rnacentral:lncRNA from 1 species
CUACAAGAAGCAAGAGUUCACUAUCGAGAAUAAAACAUCUCAUUCAGAGCUUUCCCUAAAGAAGAAAGACCACCUAUUUACUCAAGAGGUAGUGGAGGCCAACUAGCAAUUCCAGAAAAUGCAAUCUUUACAAGUAAGCAUUAAAAUCUUCUUGGGUUACUUGCUUAAAAUCUGACUAAGAAAGCGAACCCUUUUUCAUUUGAGUUUCCAGUCGGCAUUCUCAAGAAAAUACGGAAUACAUCGACUGCCGCGAAGGCGCUUACAAGAAGAAAAAAAUCCUCCUGCUGAAAGAAUCUCAAAAAGAAAGAAUCUCAUCUUGAGCCCGUAGUUAGGCUCUCGCAAUAUUCUUUGCACCUUCGGACUAUCCAUGUUGACUAUUACUUUCUAAGUCGCCUAGUAAAGGAAAAGGGCAAUUCGCCUUAACCUUAACAAAAGCAAGAAGGGGGAAGAGUCCUACAACUUCAGUCCCAUUCACUCCAGACACUACUGACUUACAAGGAUUAGUCGAUGAUUUCAGGGCAACAAGUCAAGCAUUAGGCUGAGAGGCGGAUACGGUUUUCCCCGCGGAUUAGACCAGCAUGACCUCAGGGAUGAAUGAACUACUGACGGACAGGAUGAAAGGUUUGACCCUCCGUGAACCCUUAUCCGAUAGGGGAAGGAGGCUAGACUAGGUAAAUUGAAUACCAGCUGGUUUAUCAUGAAAUAAGAUAAAGGCUGCACAUGAAAAGAAAGAGUGCGAAUUGGUUAAGAAGCACGAGUCGAAGGGUGAAUCCCUUAAUAGAAUAUCCCUGUUCGAGUUCGUAUUCAAGCUAAGUAGAUUUUCCGAUUGAGAAAAGACUAAAAGCAAAGCUCCAGAUGAGUUUCAUUGAGUUGUUAGCUAUGAGUAAGAAGUUCGAGUUGUUGAGUUUCUUCACUCUCCAACAUUCACAGGAGAUGUUCCGUAGGUGAAUUCCUUGGCUAGGGCAGUUCGGAAAGAAAGAAAAAGACGGAGAAGCUGGAUCAGCAGCAUAAGGAGGAGAAGCUGCAGAAGGAGAAAAAGAAGCGAGGUUCGUUCUCGUCUCUCCCGAAGGAUUCGAAUCCUAAAGCUUGCUUCCAGAAAGAAGAUAGGCCGAAUAUAAAGUACUCAUAGCCGGUCUUCAAGCAGAAAGAAAGCAGGAUGCCAAAUUCAAGAUUCAAUGGAAAGAAAAAGACUACGAACAUUCUAAUGGCGCGACAGGCGCAAAGAUCGUGGCCCACGUAGCGGUGCAAUAAGACAGGUCCGAAGGCGCCAUAAGACAGGUCCGAAGGACUAUCCAUUUGAGUUGCGUGAGUUGAACCGAUUCAUUCUUCAUUCAUUCAUUCACGCAUAUUUCAUUGCGCCUCCGUUAGGCGCAAAGAAUAUUGCGAGACCGCGUAGAAGGAGUCUUAUGAAACCUGGACCCUUCUUUUUAAAGAAGAAGAAGUCCUACGUCCUACGUCCGCAGUCCUACGUCCGCAGGAUUUAUCCGUAGUCCGGAGUCCGCAGUCCGCAGGAUUUAUCCGUAGGACUAUCCAUUAGAAGGAGGACUAUCCAUAUGGAAGUAGGACCAUCCAUAUGGAAGGAAGUAGUCCUACGUCCGCAGGAUUCUUAUCCGUAGUCCGGAGUCCGGAGUCCGCAGGGCCAAAGAAAGGUCCAGGUGAUUUAUCCGUAGGACCAUCCAUAUGGAGGGAAGUAGUCCGGAGUCCGGAGGAUUCUUAUCCGUAGGACUAUCCAUAUUCAGGAGCGGAAUCAAGAAUAGACCCGUCAGUAUCCGGACCAGAAACCAUAAGAAAACUCUGUUCAUUGAUUUUCCCUAGAUUUUGCUAAUGGACCAGUUGCAAUUUCCCGGCUUUUUUGCUUCUAAAUAGGACUUUUUCGACUUUUCUUAUCUAACGAAAAUAGAUCAAUUUUGACUGAUUUUUUGUCUUUUCUUGCUACUUUAUAGGCCCAAAACCUAGCAUUUCCCUCCGCGGAUUCAUCUGAAAUCUAGCACAAAGAUGUCUGAAAUCUUCAAUCUACCAGAUUCAUAAUUCUUCUUUCAUUAUCGUUAAUGAGUUCAUUAUUCAGCACUUUCUAUUUCUUUCUCCUAAUUUGUAAACUCGAAAUCUGAAAAGAGCCUUCGCUUCUUUAAUGGGAACGUUGUAAAGGGUAGAAAACUCCUACAAGAUCCAGUCCUACGUCCGCAGUCCGCAGUCCGGAGGAUUUAUCCGUAGUCCGGAGUCCGCAGGAUUCUUAUCCGUAGGACUAUCCAUAUGGAAGUAGGACCAUCCGUAAUUAACCGAAGUAGUCCGGAGUCCGGAGUCCGCAGGAUUUAUCCGUAGGACUAUCCAUUAGAAGUAGGACUAUCCAUAUGGAAGUAGGACCUUCCGUAAUUAACCGAAGUAGGACUAUCCGUAAUUAACCGAAGGAGUGGGCUGGAGCUUUUGUUUUUGGAGCUAAAGUGGGCGCAGCCCACGGAGCGGUUCAAAGAAUAUUGACAAGACUUCCAGGCGCAAAGAGCGAGGAGCAAAGAUCUAUGGCCCCCAAUUAUAAGGGGUCCAGAUGACUAUCCACUAGGGAAUAUUGCGUGAGAAUAGUCCUUCGCCUAGAAAUGCACUUUGCUCCUACUAUAUAGCUCCGGACGAGUCAGGCGCAUAUUGCGAGGUGCAAUUCCGUUAAUAUGGAUAAGUCCUUCGGACCUGUGAAAUCCACUUUUUCUAGUGAGAGGUGAGCGGCAGAUUCGCGAGCCUAGACUUGCACCAUAUUCUGAAUUUCUUCAGACCCUUUUCGAGGAAUGUUCGGGUUAACGACCGAUAAAAGCGUAGAUCGAAUCAUUCUGUCCUGAAUAAUCAGAAUUCAAGACCUCCCCGAUUUUAGAAGAGAAAAAAAAACCUCUAAGUCGAGCACAAGACCCCUUUAUUUAUGGAUGUUCAUUGAGCCUUGUGGAUCCCAAAAAAAAGAAAGCUUUAUCCCCUGAAAAGCCAAUUAUGAAAAAGAGUAGCAAGAAGAUGCUCCCAAGUGACCGGUGUCGGCCAGCCAAGCAGAUGUGAUUCUUUCUCUUCCUUUCCUAUUCUCACUGACAUUCAGGGCAAUAUUCUUUGCACCUUGCUCCAAAAACUCCAAGAGCACACUAGGCACCAAGUCGCAGUGACAACGCUUUCCAGCGGUAGUCCUCCGGUAAUCAAGCAAGAAGAAAAAAGCAUUCCUCGUCGCGGCGACUAGCUUCUCAAGUGGGUGGCUUGGUAAGCAAGAAGCUACCUUCAGCAUCGGUCAAAUCCCUAUCAAUAAAGAAAUAGGCCGGAAUGGUGGGGAAGGAGGCCCUCCCUACUGAAAUGGAAAGGGGGGAAUCGCCCAGCCCUUCUUCUAAAAACUACCUUUCGCCCAACAUGAUCACAAACGAAGACAGAGAAUUGCGUAGAUAGGAGGAGGAAACGAACCAACCCACUUGUCCUGAUCGGAACGAACGAUUGAAGAAAGAAAAGGGUGGCCCCUUUCGCCCAGGGGACAUCGUCGGAGAACAAUGUCGGGGACAGGGACCUUCCGUUGGUUACGCCCUUUAAGUCUUGGUUCUUCCAUAUUUAGAUAUGGAGAUAGAGAUCUAUCUCCUUCUAGAGAAAGAUAGAUAGGCAAAAUUUGAUUGAUCUGCUUUCAAGAUCUAUGAACAAUCAAUGAACAAAGACAUUUGAAAAAAGAGAUGUGAAUAAAUAGAUAGGGCGGAGCCAGCUGAAGGAAGGUCGCGUGAGCGCCCCUGCAAUCAAACUAAAGUAAGAAGCGCGAAACUUUACUUUGAGAAAGUUAUAUUAGAAUAUUAGUGCGCGUUAGCCUAUCUAUAGUAAUGGGCUUCUCAAAGGUUUAGGGGUGCGUAGAUUUGGAACCCUAUCCCAUGGGCUUUCUCUGAGAGGGGCUCGCUUCUUCAAGCGGAGCUUGCUGUCUACUAAACGAGCCUUCACUGCCCGCCCGGCCCCUAUCUUUAAUAAAAAGUAAAGUGAAGUCAAAUAAAAGAAAGCCCAACCUCUUUCUUUUAAGCUUUUCCAGAAAGCAACUACUUAUUAAAGCUUUGCUUCCCCUAAUUCCAAAGCACAAGAAUAGACUUGCAAGGUAUAGGAAAAAGCUUUUCUUUGAUAGCGGUCAGGGUUCAGAAAGGAUCUGAUCCUAUCUCGAGACUGAAAGCGGGGGUAGGGGCGGAUGUAGCCAAGUGGAUCAAGGCAGUGGAUUGUGAAUCCACCACGCGCGGGUUCAAUCCCCGUCGUUCGCCCAUCAAUAAAUGGACCAUUUCUUACGGAGACAGAAGAGAAAGCACCUAUCAAGCAUUUUUUCUGCAAGUCAUCUCGAGGCUUUCAAAGGCAUCCAAACAAUUGGUAUCCGAUUAAAAGCAUAGAUUCGCCUCGCCUACUUACUUCAAGCACAAAUGGAAUGGCUGAUCAUUUCUUGUAUUCAGUUUUUAAGACCUCACUAAUCAGCCAACCACUUUCAAGUUCAUAAUGAAUGAGUUUUUUAGUGGAAUAAGACUCGUCCUUCCGCCCUCCCUUUUACUAAACCAUGGGGAGCCCCGAGUAGUUUACCGGGCAAAUUGAGUUCUCGUGAGGAGUGGAAGAUCGGAAAUUUUCUGAAUCACGAGACUACAGGUCCGAAGGACUAUCCAUUAGGGAAGAGUAAGAGGCGCAAUGAAAUAUGCGUGAGAGCAAAGACAGGCUGAAUGAAUUGAGAUUGAAAUUCGGCACUUGCUUCCUUCGUCUUAAGUAAAGUGUUGUUGACUUUUUAGAUUUGGAACUCUUAGUCGAGGGCGAGAUCUAUUUUUUCUUCGAGACGAGAUAUCGGGGAGGAACCGCCGCCCAAUGGUGCUUUUACGAAAGUACGGUCCCUGGUGGCUAAUACCUUCUCUACACUAUCGAACCCUCAACAAUAUCCCUGUCUUAUGGCGCCUCAAUCGUUUAGAAAAGAUUUUUUUCGACUUAACUCAGGCAAAAAGUGCCCUAUCUGCCUUGUUGUUCUAGGGGGGUCUUUUUUUUCAAGUCAAGCUCCGUAUCCCUACCUCUUUUUAGGUUGGCAUAACAAAGAAAAAGAGUGUCAAGAAAGAACACAUACCCCAUCACUUUUUGAAGGUUCGGAAUCGUCAGGGAGCCCCUAUAGACGUCAAAACUUGACUUCACUGAACCGGCACUACUCUUUGUCGGCUCCUACCACUCGUCCCUCGUCUGCUUGUCGAGCGCGCCCUUGGCCCUUGCUCGUCUAUAGUAGCCGAUCGAGCUUCUUCGCCCCUCUCCCGCUUAUUGAUUAGGGCGAGUCACUCAAGUCCCUUGUCACUCGACUCUCUUUUCUUUUACGAAAAUCCCUGGGUUUUUGCCUUUUUCGUAAACUAAACUCGCUCGUCAAGAGAGGAGUUGCCUCACUACGAAAGGUGUCCCAUGGAUGGACGAGUUCCUAAACUACGAAAGAUAUGGAGCGGAUGGCGUACUGAUAGAUCUCCUAUUCGUUCUGGAUCCAGAUGAAACUUUUUUUGAUAUUAGUAAAGCGCUAACGCGCCCUGAAAACGAAAGUAAAGCAGCAAGCCCACUCCUCCUUCAGCAUAAUCUAAAAAUAGGGCAAUAUUCUUCUCAAAUUCUUUGAGCCCUCCCCCAGUGCAAAGAAUAUUGCGAAGACCGCUCCGAAGGAGUCUUAUGAAACCUGGACCCUUCUUUCCAUAUGGAUAGUCCUACUUCCUUCCAUAUGGAUGGUCCUACUUCCUUCCAUAUGGAUGGUCCUACUUCCAUAUGGAUAGUCCUACUUCUAAUGGAUAGUCCUCCGGAUAAAUCCUGCGGACUCCGGACCCUGGACCUUUCUUUGGCCCUGCGGACUGCUUCGGUUAAUUACGGAUGGUCCUACGGAUAAAUCCUCCGGACUACUUCCAUAUGGAUAGUCCUACUUCCUUCCAUAUGGAUGGUCCUACGGAUAAAUCCUGCGGACUCCGGAUAAAUCCUGCGGACUCCGGACUCCGGACUCUAAAAGAAAUUGCCAAGUUUGAAAGGCAAAAAGGAUCUCAGAUCAUUUGCUUAAGACAUGCAAGUCAGGAGUUCAGACUCCUUUUCGCAAAUUCUUUGCUCAUGAAAAGGCGAACUUUCAGUCGCUUCGAGACUUUGCUUUCUCAAAUUCUUUGACCCUCUUCUGAAUUGCUUUCAGACUCCUAACGGAGCGGUCGGACCUCUUUUUUCGGAAAAGAUGGAACUCAAACUAGUAGUGGGCUUUCUUCCUUUCGUCUUUCUAUCUUCCCCACGUAGCGGCUUUCGUACUUAUUUGAGGUUUCAUGUGGAUUAAGAGAAGAGGCUUUUCGAGUCACAAAGAGAGUAAAAACAUAGUUCUUCUUUGAGGCUACUGUCCUUAUCGGCUAGCCUUCCCCUUCCGGGUUGGCGGGGCAAUGAAAAGACUUUGAAAUAGAGAAAGAAGCCAAUAGAGUAGAAAGUCAAUGAACAAGGCGAUCAGAAUUUUCGAAGGACUUCGGACCGUAGGAGGCUCAAAGAAUAUUGCGAAGAGCUUUCCACUGAUUGGAUAUGAGACCUCUAGCGAGUGCCUCAGUUCAACUUCCUGGUGAGGUGAGAAAGGGGAUUGUACUUAUUGAAUCUACCCUCCCUAGUCCCGAGAACUCUUUUAUCUGACUCAGUCUCUUCUUUUCUCUCGGAUGAAUCCCAUGAAAGUUGACUCUUUUUCGAAAAAGAGUACUAAAUCAAAAGAGAAAGCCUAUCCUUCUUUCUCAACCUAAUAAAUACCGUAACGAGUUGACGCUCCGUGGGGUAGAGAGAAUUGCUUCUUGCAAGUUCGGUCUGCUUGGAAUAGGCCAAGGCCCUAAUACGAGUUCAAGGUACUAGAGUAGAAUGAAUUACCUAAAUCAGAACCUGGGUUAUCAGAAGCUCUCCAUUUCGAAGUUCGUAGCCUUCGCAUCUUUUUCUACUUUCAGUUUCUAGUCGGACCAAGUGGAAUCUUUGAUACAUUCUUAUAUGAGUCCGACCGAGGACCCGUCCUUCUUAGUUCAGUGAUUGAAUCUACCAUAUGAACUUCCUUUUAGUUUGAGUAGGUUUCAAAACAUAAGAGAGAAAGUUGGAUUGAGUUCCAUAAAUCAGUCGGGAAAUAGAGGGUGACUGAAUAAGGCGCGAAGCGAAAAGCAAGCUUCUAUCUUCUAUUUUGAUGCGUCUCAGCCAAGCGAAAAGUUGGAAUUCAGGCGCUUUCCUUUGGUACGAAUCGCUGGAGUUGGCAUUGAGAGUGGAAGUUGGAGAAGUCCCUUGCUGCCGUUGAAGACUCCUCGGGGAGUUACGCAGCUUGAAAGGAGCGAAGAGCUUGACCGAGCUGGGGGGUAUCGACUGGAUAGGAUCGUGAUGAUUCCCCUAGUUGAAGUGACCUAUCGGGCAGAGGUUAGAUAUAGUCCUCACUGUAUCGGAUUGAAUAUGCUUCUUUUGCUUUACCUAGUUUACAAGGGGAAGUAGCGUAGCGCGUAUGCUCAUUCUUCUUCUUUUUGUAGCAGUUGAACUUCUAUUCUGAAUCUCGUGAAUUCACUCAUUGUCAUAUUCCUUCCCAUGAAAAGGAGAAAAUUCUCUUUCCGCAGAGGUUGAGCUUGAUAGGGCUCGGAAUCAGUAGCUGGAAUUAAACUACCACGGACCGGCAUAGGCAGACAGGUUAGCUCCCCAAGAGGCAGGAGAUAGGCUCGACCAGUGAGUCAGAAGCAAAAGAGACUCAAGGUUCGGGUCGGCAAGUAGGGAGUAGCAGUUCUUCUUUCAGUUUCAGUAGCCUCAUCUCUUGAGUAAGGCAACUUGCCUCAAACUCCGGUAAAUUCAUAAGGCAUAGGAAGAAAAAGGCAAAGGUCAAGAGGCUCAAAGAAUAUUGAGGAUCAGACUACUCCCAGAACCCACUACGCGGUGAGGAUACAAAGGUUAGGACUCAUGAAAUUCCAUAUUCACUUUUCUUUGAUCCUUUUCUUUAUCCGUCCGAAGGACUAUCCAUAUUAACCUGUCUGUCCGGAGGACCUGUCUUAUGGCACAAAAGUCAAUCAAAGAAAAUCAGUUCAUUAACGAUAAUGAAAGAAGCUCAAAAAGAAUCUGCUAGAUUUCAGAUGAAUCCGCGGAGGGAAAUGCUAGGUUUUGGGCCUAUAAAGUAGCAAGAAAUCAAGUCAAAUGCCUUCUUUUUCUACUUUUAUCGUUAAAUAUCAAUCUUCGAUUUACUAUGAAAAAGAAGCAAAAAAGCCGGGAAAUAGCAAGGCAUUGUCCUAUUUGAUUUUCGAAAUUCACAUGGAUCAGUUCUAGUUUGAGUUUCUGGUCCGGAUACUGACAGGUCUAUUCUGUAUUCCGCGUAGGAGAAAGAAGACAAAGAAAGAUAUUGCUGGUCGGAAAAGAAAUGAACAUAGUUUUCUUAUAGUUUGAGUUUGUGGUCCGGAUACUGACAGGGAUAUUCUUGCCUUCUAAUGGAUAGUCCGGAGGCGCAAUAUGCGAAGGCGCAAAGAAUAUUGCGCGCUACUCUUAGCUUGAUUUUCAGCCAGCCAUACCCAAACCUUGCUUGCAGCUUGCUUGAGACUUGGACUUGGCUUACUAACUAUACCUGGUGCCUGACUCUCAUGGAAAAAGAAAGGAAGAGGAAAGAGAGGGUGCAAAGUCUAUCCCUCCCUAUAUAGUCUUUUCUAUCCAAUUGUGCUCUUUGAAGCUUUCCAUCGAUCAGUCCUGAAUGGGGUCCUAUCCCGCUUCACCAACUUCUUACUAAGCAAAGGUAGUCAGGUGAACUCUAGCAAAGACCUCUGAAAUGUCUCCGAGGACAGUAAUUUGGAUUUCUUCGGAUUCGUGAACCUAGGAUUAGCAUCGAAGGUUUCAUUCCAUUGCCCGACUCUCAUCGUAAUGAGGAGGUUGAAUCUCAAUCCUAGUCUUAUCCUUAAUCCCUUGCUGCUCAAAGCCUUAGAUUGAAUGCCGACUUUGGAUCAAACCUUUGGCAGAGCACUAAAAUCACUUCUAAUGGAUAGUCCUCCGGACUGGUCCUCCGGCGCAAAGCAUAUUGCGGCUUUAUUUGGAGGAAUUCCGUAGCAGCUAAUUGAUCUAUAUCUUCCUUAUCAAUGAUCUUUGCUCCUCAUCUGGAGCCUUUGUUUUUGUCGCAGCAAAGGCGCAAAGAAUAUUGCGUGAUGAUGAAGACGACUAGAAAUAAAGAAAGCACUACGCGGGAAGAACUGGAUAAGGUCAGAGUAUUCGUUCUUUCUGGGAAAUUACAAACCCUGGGUUCUGACUUGACUAUUGUACGUAAAGACUGGACCGAUCCCAAGAACAAGGGCAAGGCGCGGCACUCUUGACUCCAUUUCCGUUCCGAAAUCAUAGGUAGAAAGCAUAGGAUAAGAGUCUCAGACGGACUAAUUCGAUAGAGUUGCAAGGAUAUAGAAAGAUUUCUCGCUAGAUCAGACCAAGGGAGGGCAAUUCAAGGGCCACUGCUGCGACUGAAGGUGACACUAGCUAUCUCGGAUAGGAAAGAGAGGCUUGAUCGGUAACCACAGAUUUCAAGGUCUUUCUCCACUGUCUGAAAGAGCCAUUGAUUCACACUGCCCGCUAUAGCGAAGAGAGAGGGGCGGAGCCACUCGACCGAUAGGGAGAGGGUUUUGGUCUCUUCUUCCUAAAUAGAGAUUCAACCGGAGAUGGGCAAUUUGAUUAGCUAUCUUGCUAUAAGGGUGGAGCGUAUGAUAAGCGAGCGAUCAGGGCUAAGAAGGGAAAAGAGUCCUCUUGUUUUUGAGAGGUGGACCUUUAGGGCCCCUCCUUUGCCGGGUAGGGCGGGACAACGGAUAAAGAGUUAGAAGAGGUUGAGAGCUCCUAAUUGAGCUGCUAUCUGCUGCGUAAAUGGAUAGAAAGGCAUCCUAAGCAGGGCUGGCGGGAAAGUAGCACCUUGCUCAGGAUGAGAGGGCUCCUUAUGCCGGGAAGGGCAGUUGAAUGUGAGAUCUAUCCCCUUUAGUUUUGAGGGUUGGCCUGAUCAAAGUAAUCGGGGAUGUAGUAGCCCAAGCACCUACUGGGAGUAGCCUCGUCUUCGCUCAGUGAUGGAAUCCUUGAAUCCAGUACAUUCUGGGUCUCCACAAUGGCUUUGAAUUAUCUGCUCUCUUCUGGCUGGAUGGGUUUCCAAGGUCUUCGUUCGAAGGCUAAUCCCCCUAGUAGGAUAGUCGGACUGAUUUUUAUCCAUUUCAUUCUUGCGGUAUAUCGGUAUCCUAGGCUUUCCUAUUUGUUGUUGGGUAGGCUUUCCAUAACCUUUUCCGCCUAUCGAGCCUUUGUCCUUCAGUUUCUUUUCUUUCUGGGAGUCUGAUUCAGAAGGUUUUUUCUCUGCUUCUUUCUGUCUUUUAUGAGAAAUAGAGUAGAGAAAGAUCUCAUGAAAGAUCGCGGGAUCUCCAUCCACUCGCACGGGUAAGAGGUUCCGGAGCUCUAGAUCAGAAGAAAGGCGCAAAGAAUAUUGCGAAAGAGAGGUGAAGGGGCUGUAGCCCUUGCAGUCCUUGUUGGAGGCAUGAAGGACCAAGGCUUAAUUCAAAGGCUGAUUUAUGGUCCGAAGGCUAGGCGCAAAGUUCGGUUAAUUACGGAAAGUCCUCCGGACUACUUCGGUUAAUUACGGAUGGUCCUACUUCUGUUAAUUACGGAUGGUCCUACGGAUAAAUCCUCCGGACUACUUCCCUCCAUAUGGAUGGUCCUACUUCGGUUAAUUACGGAUGGUCCUACUUCACUCCGGACUUUCCGUAAUUAACCGAACUUUGCACCUCUCCAUUUCAUGCGCUUCGCGCCGGAGGACGACUGAAAGGUGCGAAGCAAAGAGCGCGAGACUAGAGAGGAGAGGCUCAAUGUAAUAUGAGUUGAGAAGCGCAUUUAUCUAAGAAAAGAAGAAAGGCUCUUUGAAUAUUGAGAAUAUUGCUGGAAGAUUUGCACUGGGGGAUAUUCUUGAGAAGACUCAAAAUAGCGGGACUUCUCUUUCUUCUCUUAAAUAAUAGUCUUUCUUAAUGAGGGGAAAAUGGGUCGAGCUGUUCGGGAAUUUCCAUAAAUGAGAUGAGAGAGUCUUCUUGAAUAUAAGGCAGGCCACAAGGAGAGCUACUGAAGACUGCUCCUCCUACUUCCGGCGCGCUGACCAAUACUGGGGAUUUCUGGUCUGACCCCGGCGGCUUUCUCUUUAUUCCUUUGAUUUGAUUGGGAUUUUUUAGGUUUUUUCUUUCAAGAAAGAAUAUUGCGUCUUUGCGCCUCCGACGGAGCAGCUCCAAAAAGCCUCUGCGGUCAGUCCUUCGGACCUGCUGACGAGUCUGAUUCCACUAAAAAAUGACUCAAUAUUCUGAGCAAUAUGCACCUACGCGCGGAUAUUAUCGGCUAUUUAACAGCUUUUUUCUCCAUAAUACUUUUUCAUUUAAGCUAUUUAAGAGUGGUUAUUAAGCGGCUUUUUUUCGGAAGGCAAAGAAUAUCUCUGUCUUAUUUAUGGGAGCCUCCGUAGCUUAAUAUGUCAUCUUGACCUUUCUCGUCCCUUCCUCUUUGAGCGCUCCGACGGAGCAAAGUUCUUUAUAGGAGGCGCAAAGCAUAUUGCUCAAUUUGAGAGAACUAAAAAACCGAAGGAGGCGCAAUGAAAUAUGCGUAGAAGAAUGAGUCUACCUUUCAAAAAGAAACCGCGGAGUGGGAAAUCGUGAAAAAUGGGCGAUUUGGCGUGCAAUCUUCCAUCUUUCCUAUGCCCCAAAGUCACUAACAAAGUGAUUCUCACUAAAAACAAGGGUCGGACAGGCAGAACACAACCAUCUGCAGCACUCAAGUCAACGGGUCUCGCUUAACUUGCACUCCUUCUAAGUCGCUUCGCGCCUCAUGGUCUCGUCUUCUCUUUGGUGGGCGUAUUGGGAUUCCUUUCCUUACUCGAACUUCUGAACAAUCUUUCUUUGGGUUAAUAUGGAUAGGACUGAGGACCAGUCAAUCAAUCAUCAAUAUCCCUGUCUCGCAAUAUUCUUUGCGCCUGGAAGUCUCGCAUAUUGAAUUGCGCCUUCGGUAAAAUCACUUUGCUCCGUCGGAGCGAUCCAACUGAAUGAAAUAAGUCGAGCUUCCUUAGGCGCGUCUCGUGGGAGGCCUAGCCGGAUACUUCUCUUUUACCUUUUUGAUGCAAGGACGACUACAGCCUUUACUUUACCUCGGGCGAGCAGAAAGCCAUAAUCCUUUUAGGACGGAUUCCUCUUCCUAAAGUCGAGUCAUUUCAUUCCUCUUCCCGCUACGUGGGGUCGACCCUUUCCCAUAUAGAUGGUGGUCAUUCAACUCAUCUGGAGCUUUUCUUUUUGUAGUCUUAGGCCGGGGCAAUAGAAAGUUCCCAUGCUGCUGUUGGGAACGUAGAGUUCGAGAUGAGCACUUAUUGAGAAUGGGGGGGAAUCUUUUUGAUCAUAUUUCUUAGUUAAGAAUCUAAGCUUAUCAAGAACAAGAGAAAGAAGAAAAGCAAGGAAAGACCCCCUACGGGAACGGCUGACGCUUUUGCCUUGAUCCUCUGCUGUUUUGGGAGUUUCCUUUGUCCCUGAACUCCGCCUUAUAAGAUUAGUCUUAGAGUGAGUUCAUCCCUUCCAUUAUACGAGUGAAUGAAGUGACCUUUUAAAGGCCUAAUAACCUUGAACUCGGUAGAAAGAAGGCAUCUUAUCUUUUUUCAUGCCUUUCCUUUUUGAUCGCCAUUCUCUUCUUUGUUCUUGUAUUUUCUGGGGAUCGUGGGGAUGGCAUGGGACGCCUCUUCGGAGGAGUUCUUCACUUAUCCGAAAUAAAUGGGUGAGGACGAGGAGGAAUCCCGCCUUUACCGCUACGUGGGAUCAACCGGCUGGGCCACCUGACUUUUUCCCUGUAAAAUAGUCCAUGGGUCGGAUCGUCCAAAAGAUGAUUCCCAGUGGUGAGACCUGAACUCGCAUCUCUCGCCCUUUGCUUACUUUACGCGCAUCAAUCGUUAAGAUUUGCUUUCUCUAACCCAGAGUGAGAACUAUCACUAGAUUCUUCAUCAAAAGUCUUGAGCGAGGACAUCAAGCAAUUGGGUCCAUUACACCUUUUUCACCUUCAAAGAUUUCUGGGUGGACAAUCAAUGUCUUUACUGGAAGGAAGAAGAUCAAAAACCCCAAAAAUAGGAGAGCGGAUUCGCACCCGGAGGGAGACAAGACGUCAUCACCAGAGAGGAAUGCUCUUGCUCAAUAGAGUUGACUCUGGUCGGAUUAGUUUAGGGAAUGAAGUUGCUCAUGAGUAAGGGAAUGAUAAGGAUAGGGUCCGGGUAGAACUACUACUUUAAUUGAGACUGUAUGAGACACCCCCUUUCUAUCCAUCCUGUAAUCUCCGAUAAAAGGUGCGAAUACUAUUCCUUAUAGAAGGUUCGGGCUGGCCCUUGCUAGGCAUAAAAGGGCGCCCACGGAGCGGGCGAGGUUGAAGUUUCAUAAGGAUAGGUUGAAUAAGCAGCAGUUGCUUUCCGUCUUCUAUGAUCUCUUUCAUUCCUUAUUCGAAAGAAGGCAAAGAAAGUGGAAAGGAAAUCCUGGGAUUGUAACCAUUGAGCUUGAACCAUGAUUUAGAGUGAAAGGUUAGGCUAUUUGCCUUGGGCAAGGAGAUCUAGCUAGAGAUCGCAAGAUCGAAGAAAAGCUUUCGCAUCCUCAACUACAGCAGCCACAACUACUGGAAGAAAAAGACUUUUUCAAGAACCACUUCUGCAAGUGCUCCAUUAGUUCUUUGCUUUCCUCUACUUUCGGAUUCUAUCAUAGCUUCAGAAAAGAAAAGGGCAAUAUUCUUUGCGCCUCCCCCCGUCCUCCGGACUAUCCGUAUUAACCUAGCCUUCGGACCUGUCUUAUGCAUCCUUACUCAAAUUUCAUUGAUCCUCUCCGCCCCGUGGGAGUCUGAAAUAUUCUUUGAACCUCUCCGGUCGAGCAGCGGCUUUGCACCGCUCCGUGGGCCUCUUUUCUUUCAUCUUCUUUGAAUCUCACCGGGAUAAAUCAGCCUAAGGAAAGAUGUCGUGGAUGGAAGAAUGGAAGUUGGAACGUCAAAUCAGCCAUUUGGCUAGUCAAAUGUGAGGUAAAAUCGUACUUUUGGAACCCACUCCGCCUACUAUUUGGAAGAAAGCCUAUCCUUCGAUGGGGUGAAAGCCUUCUUAUCCAGGUGGCUACUUACUAACCUCGUCGAGUUCUAGCCUCUCCCUUUCUUAAGAGUUGCUUCGCGCCUUGCUAUGGUCAACAAGUGUAUGCCUUUGCUCCCUUCCCUUCUCUGAAUAUCAGAUGUGCUGGUGAGGCCUUUGUACGUAAUGCUCUUUAUGGGCUUCUGCCGAUUCCCCGCUUCGCAAAUUCAAAGCUCCUAACGUCAAAUAAGAAGUAAUAGUAUUCAAAUCCCCCGUCCGAAGGACAGACGGGUUAAUAUGGAUAGUCCUUCGGACCUGUGGACAUCUACAUUGUUUUUAGUGGACAAAAGACAAAGUACUAUAUAGAAGGCGCAAAGAAUUUGCGAAGAAGGCGAGAAAAGAGGGAUAUUGUUGCGUGAGAAAGAAUUUUCUCUUUUUAUCCCCCCAGGUCCGAAGGACUAUCCAUUAGGGGAUCCCACGUAGCGGUGCAAAGAAUAUUGCGAGGCGCAAUGAAAUAUGCGUAGAAGAAUGAAUCUACCCUUUACCGCUAAAUAGGAGCAGCUUAAUAUGUGAGCGGUAGGCCUCUUCUUCCUUAGAUCGCCCCUGCCCGAGCAGGCUUGAUGGAUUGAUUGAUGAAAUCAUAUAUAGGACAAAAACUCCCAACGUAGACGAGGCACACAGUAAAGAGGGAAAGAGACCAAACUCACUCACGAAAAGGAAAGAUUGAAUGAAAGAGGGAAAGGUCUCAUCAUUCUCCCGAACGUACUCACUCGCCCGCCCAGGACAAAGAAGCUCGAGGCCCUUGUUCAUUGAGGCGGUUAUGGACUUGCUCGAGGUUGGAGUGAGGCAUAACCUCUUCUAUCCUAAUCGGCGCAUAAGGAAGAGACCAGGGGAAUUCAGAAAGAGAAGUGGCUUGGUGUCGGAACCCUUGGUCUUUUAGUCGUCAAGUUUCAUUCACAUUUUGAUGAUAGGUGCAAAGAAUAUUGCGAGACAGGGAGAGGGGCGAAGAGACUCGACCGUAGGGAGAGGGGCGAGAACUAUCUAUUCUUCCGCCAUACCCAAAACGUGAACACGGGAUUGGACGUGCUUUCUUGCUUAAACCCUUGCACAUGCUCAGGAUCGUCGGAUAAGGGAGGGGUAGAAGUAUUUACGGGGAGAAGGGAGUAAGUGCUCUCUAAAGGGCUGGUUCGAAGGACCGAUACGAAGCACUGCCUUGAGUCCGCCGCCGAUGUUGACGAUUGUAGAUGGGAGCUUUCCCUGACCUCUUAUUCAAGGAGAUUUCGUUUUCAUAUUUGACCGCCCUGAAUUUCCUUAUGUUAAGCCUUUUGACCUCGUAUUUGACUUCCGAAGAUUUGACUCCUUCUGCAUUCAAACUUCGUAUUCAAAAGAAGAAGGAGGCGCAAAGAAUUUGCGAAGAAGGCGCUUCUAAUGGAUAGUCCGGAGGACGGGGAAUGUGAGUUGCAGAAAGAAAAAGCAUGAACUAUCAGGUCGGAAGAGGUCCCAGGAGAAUAGGUUUCGUCAGAUCUUGAGAUAAGAAGAAAGGAUAGAAAAGCAACUCCACCAGGAUCGGGGAUAGGUUAGCCCAGCCGAAUGGGCCUAGUAGUAGUGAGGUAGGACUGAUUAAUACGAGAGCAAAGGUGCGAAGGUGCAAAGAAUAUUGCGAGAGGUUCGAAUACGAAGAGUCAGAAGUCCCAUUAUGAAUUCAAGACCGAAACCGUUAAGCAAAUGAGACCGAGGUGCAAAGAAUAUUGCGGAGAUGAAAUUGAGUUAGAAGAAAACUUGAAUCUCCCUGGCGAGAAGAAAGGAGACCUACGAAGCAAAGAAGCGGAGCGGUAGACUAAGAAGUCAAUAAUCAGUCAAAGGGCUGCACCGCUGGUCCCCAACCCAAAGACGGAUGCGCAUCGGCGAUCAUGGAAAGGAGCGAAGGCAGAGAAUACCCCCUUGCUAGGGCCAGAGCUGCUCGACUCUCAAUCUCAAGUCCUCCAAGGAUAAAGGCUAGGUCCUUUUCUCAUACCAAUAGGGGGCAUUCAAAAACCUUAGUUUAAUGGAAUGGCUAGUCAAGACCAGGGUAGACCCACACCAGGGAGAGGGCGAAUAGAGGCUGUCCGGCGACGAAGGUGUUCCAGCCAAAACAGCUACGUGGGGUUGAUCCUAGGGUCUUCUUCAGUCCGCUUGGACAGCUAGAAACUAUCUUCUUCAAGGAAGCGCUUGACUGAAACUAGAAAUGCUAUAAAUGGUGGAGUCGUCUUGUGCAGGUUCUAGGCCUGCCUUCCCCCAAGUUCAGGGGUUAGCCUCCCUUUUCAUUUCAUUCAGGGCAUCAUCCUCACGUGAGGCAAUCCAUGACUUGACUUAUAGUUCACAUUGAGCUCCCUCUCGUCCUCUAUUUGAUUGGGAGAGUGGUUCGCAACUAUCAGAUAUAGAUCUCUUCUUUCUUUCCAGAUCUUUUCUUUGUUUUGUCUGGAUGCCCUUUUCGGGCUCACUUCCUAAGAACCCAGCCCCCAAGAGGAAAUGGACAGGCAUUGAAAAAAGCCGAAGCGCUGGCAAAAACCUAGAUUCUAUCCAACCCACUCGUAGUGCCCUAGACCUGAGGGGUUAGGUUAAGGGAUUCAUUUUUCAAGUCAAAGAGGGCAGUCGCUGGGCCUUCUUUCUUUGAGUCACUCGCUCCGGGGAGAUCCUCUUUGGUAGGGAUGGGACUAAAGAGCUCUAAAGAGCGGCAACAGCUUAUCCGAAAAAAGCAGUUCUCUUAUCUUAUCGAAAAAGGUCUCGCUUUGUCUCCUGAAGUUCAAGUCAGAAAAUCAAUGAAGAAGUCGAUGCCCACGUAGCGGGAAAAGACGAAAGCAGGGAGACAAAGGCUCAAAGAAUUUGAGAUAGGCUUUCAGUAUUAUUUUGAGGUUCUAGAGGCGCAAUGAAAUAUGCGAAAGCAGGGAGCAUCAAAAUUCAUGUAUAGGGCUUUUUUUGGAAUGAAUGAUCCUACUUCUUUAUCAAGCUUAAGGAUAGGUCGUCCGGAGGACUUGUUUUUAUCCAUCUGAGCUGGUCAAAAUGCAACAAAAAAGAAGGGAAAACGCAAUAGAACCUACUAUUAUAUUAAGCCUAUCUGAUGCUUCUCUUUGCAUUCUGAGAAAAGAAAAAAUAAGGAGGCCUACGACUAAAAAAUACGGCUCGUCAUAACAUAAAAUCAAUGCUUUUAGUGAAAGGCAACUCAUAUUACAUUGAGCCUGCCGGAGAGGGAAGAACUGUUGUUGAGAGACAGGCGCAAAGAAUUUGCGAAGAAGGCGCAAUGAAAUAUGCGAGGCGCAAAGAAUAUUGCGAUAGCUCUGACUUUGAAAAUAGCUUAACCUGUGGAAUAAAGAAGUGAACUCAUUAUUAAAGAGAGAAUUUACGGGAUUGGUCUAAUCAAUAAAUAAAGAAUAGUCGCAAUAUGCGCCUUUCUUCUCUUCAAAUUCUUUGAUCCUUCUCACGGCAGCUAAGGAUAUUCUUUCUUCCCGCUCCGUGGGCUGACUUUGGGCCUCAGUAGCUUAAUUAAGAAAGUCAAAUCCCAUGAUUCCUCCUCUCCGCAAUAUUCUUUGCACCUUGCCUUUUUUCCUUCUUUAUAUUUCCGACCCCUUAUACAAAGGCUCCAUAAAGAAAUACGGAUUGGGAUUCACGGAUUGGAUUAUCAUUAAUAAGCAGUUCAGAUCUUGCUGCCCUUUUCGAGCUAGACCUCUAUCGAACUAAACCUUACUCAUUUCUAAUACUAAUACCGGGAGGGCACCGAUGUACAGGGGCUGAUUUUAGAAUUCCGAGUGCCGAGAACGGGGGCGUCAAAGAGAAGAGGUAUAUCCUUGCACGGCGACGAUACCCUUUUCUCGGUCCGAGCAUCCCACUCGGAUAAUGAGUCGGAUAAUUAUUGGUAAGCGAAUCCUGUUCGCGUUCUCGGCCGAGCAAAAGCUCCAUUGCCGAGCAAAACCGAAGGUGGCCAGCCGCAUAGUCUCUAAUUCAGAUCUGGAAUUACAUUCUACGUCCGACUGCCUUGUGUGAGAAGGAGGGGAGAUAUUUAUAAGUAACCGAUUCGGGAAAGGGUAACUUCAACCUUUACGGGCCUGGGGAAGGCCUGCCUACUAGUUUAGUUGGUCUAGAGCUAGUCUAGUAAGACUAAAUAGUAGGUGGUAGCCUUAGGGCCCCAAACGAGGUUAGGGAAAGUGACACAUUUGAAAAGUGAGAAAUCGCACUUUCCCGGUUACCGUCCACGCUAAGAUAGAAGAAGGCACUGCCCGUGUGGCUUCAACCUCUGCUGUGGGUCUUUCAAGACGAAAGACCAAGGCCUGAUCACAGCGGCCGUACACAUCCGUUAUUCUCUACCAAGGGAAAUGUCUACUAGAUGCGUAAAUCAGAUCGUGACAAGAUCUCAAGUUGCACCACAUCUCACUUAGGUCCAACCCUUGGUUCGGUUGGUGGCAUCGCGAAGUCAAGUGAAUUUCACAUCAAUUUUCUGAACCGGUAGAUCGGAUUGGUGGCGGUUAGUCAACCCCGAAAGAAGGGGAGUGAGAGAUGCGAUAAGGGUCAGGGGAUGACUUUGAAAGGUCACAUAAAAGUUCAGCGUCUCGAUAUUCACGCCGAUCGGGACCGGUCCUCCGGCAGGUCGCAAUAUUCUUUGCGCCUCGUUGCGCUCCUUGAUUCUUUUCCGCAAUAUUCUUUCCUCCUAACUACUAAUGGAAAGUCCUUCGGACUCCAUGAACUGUGAAAAUACGAUAUGAGAAUAGAUAGUUCUCGCUUGAGCUCUCUCUUACCUUUCUAGCUUCUCCAACUCGGGAAAGAUCUAAAUCAGGUCUAGCUUCCGAGACAGAGAAGAACGAUUUGAAACUUUCCAUCCAGCGCCUAUGUCAAAACCUAGUUCAAGAUCGAAUGAGCACUGAAAGUCUGACUCGAGUCAUUAUGUCUUUCUUAUCCGUUAUAUACUCCACAUUCUAGAAGUUCAUAAAGAAAGAAAGUGAACAAGAAAAUGGAAAGUCUCACUCUCAGAAAGUUAUCCAUCGCUUGAUACUAACCAUACCUUUACCGGCUUUCAUAAAAGCCAUUAUUAUAUUAUUUCUGGCCGUAGAAGGCAUCAAUCAUAUUUCAUGGAUCCUCCCUUGCCUUUUUCUACUUUCAGUUUCUAGUCGGCGUCGGACUCCCAUAAAGAAGAGAUUAGGCUUUCCUUUAUGUCUUCUUUUCCUUUGUCGGCUAAUAAGUUGAAUGAGAAAUUGAACUUUCAAGGCCGCCAGAUGGAAUCUACAGCCCUUGCACCCAUGAAACUCCUUUUCCUAAGCCACUCCUUCCCUUCUCGGUGGGUCAAGCCUUCUCACCGCCUCAAUGAAGAACCGCUGACUCUUCCCGGAGAAUGCUACAUCUCUUUCUUCCACAGCGACUCUACUGAAGAAAGAGCGGCUGCCACUGCCUCAAUGAACAAGGGUCUUCGCUUAGCCCCGAAUGAGGACUCAAUUUCGACUCCUUCUUCUCCGGAACGAUUUUGAUGCAAUUACUGAAUUUGAUAUCUUCCAUAACCUUUCUAGAGGCCGAGGGCUCGAUCUAGCUCAUUCCCGACGAAGCACGGAUCGAGCGGACGGACUCACGGAUGUGAAUACCUCGUCCUCCAUGGCUACCUUCUUAAAUGAGAAAUGCUACCUCCUUAGAAGAAGACCUCUGAUCCCUAGGCGAACCUUCCAAACCUAAAAAUAAUACGAAAGAAAGCCUUCUCACCUUUAUCUUAUCUUUCAGGGAGCCUAUUUGGGGCUAUGAGUAACCCCGCGACAGGUCAAUUCCCACGUAGCGGUAGGUUUUCCCCAUGGAAAUAUGAAAGUCUUGUUGUCAAAUCAUCCCCAGACAAAGAGCAAACUCACCCCUAGAGGUCGGACGGGCAAAGCCACGAGGAGUCUGACGAGAGGGAAGUAUCUACUCGUAUGAGUAAAGGCAGCGAUCAGUUCAGCAGAGGCCCAGGCGAGAGGCUCAGCUCAAGGAGAGGCAUCCCUUUCAGAACAAGCUGUAGCCCUCGAGUUCUUUAUUGAUUGAUGAGCAAUCUUGCUGAACUUUGCCUUCUUUAUUUAGAUCUGAAAUCAAAGGCUGAACUGAAUGUCCCCUACAGCAAGAAGGACCAACCUUCUACCCUACCCUAUUUACUGGAAUAUUCUCCCUGGGAUCAGGAUCAGAAGCGAGACCAGACCUCAAUGAACAAGGUGAGAAGGCUUUCUUCUUUUCUCCUUUCUUAAUAAUCGUGGGGUUGAUCAGAGCUAAGCUCGAGUGAGUUGUAGAGUGAGAGGAAAGGAAAAGGCUCGACUCGAGGAGGUCUUCUUAUCUUCUUUCUUGUUUCGGAGUUCACUCUAUUUGAACUCUCUUUACAUUCUGUUUAUACGUUUUUCGUGUACAAAAUGAAAGAGGGAGAUAGGCGCAAAGCUCAAAUACUUUGAUCCUUUGAACCUUUUAUUUGAAGCUGCUGGAGGCAAAAAAUUGCACAAGCUCAGUGGUCCACUUCUCGUUGAGGCGGCAUUAGGCAAUUCAGCUGGCAUAACAUCCUUUCAACUUUAUAGGAUAGGCAAGAUCUCUGAGGGCAGGUUCCUUGCUGGCUCGAGGACUCCUUCCUCCUUGAGGCAUGCUAGGAAGGUGGGCUGCGCCUUCUUGAAUCCCUUUGAGAGCUGCAUUGCUGAAAUUUGCCUUGCUUGAAGGCUAGACUCUCGUGCUAACGGAACCAUGGAAGGAUGGCCUUCUUCCAAGAUGCACAAACUCUUGCUGAAAGGAAUAGGUACUGCCUUUACUUGGUCUAAAAAUUCAAUGCCAAGAAGCACAAUGGGAUAAUCAUCCGUAGAACUCCGAAGUCAAUCUCUCCACUCCACUGCCCCAAGUUCACGCCACGAGCUACUCCGAAGAUGGAUUUAGGCCCUGAGUUUUUUACUGCCUUGAGCCAUCCAGGCUCCUUGAUCUAUUUUACGCCCAAAGGCUCAGCUUCCUUCUCCUCUCGAAAGUUGUUGGUAGCCCCUGUGUCCACCAUGGCUGUGUAGUUGCCUAGUUUGCCUUCUACAUAGAAGGGUCCCUUCCUUGCUGCCUUGGGCACUUCAACUUUGGCCUGUAUAGCAUGAAAAAUCGAACUUGAUCCCAUCUUCGUCUCCUCGUAGCGCCGAAAAUCCAGACUUCUCAAGAAUAUCCCCCAGUGCCGCAAAUUCUUUGCGCCUUGCACUCCUUUCUUCUUUUCUUAAAUAAAUGCGCUUCGUAGAUUAUGCUGAAGGAGGAGUGGGGUCCACAAUUGAAGGAUUUGAUGGGCUCCCCAUCCUUCUUCUUGUCCUUGCUCCUUGCUAGGACUGCCUCCUUUGCUUUUGCCUUUAUCGUAGCCUUUUCUGACUUGCCUCCCCCACUCUUUCCCUUGCCCUUCUCUUUGCUGGCUUUGGAAAACUCAGGCUUCUUGAACUCUAUCAAGGACUCAGCUACUGAAAUGGCUGUGGCAAGGUCCUGGACUCCGCGUCUCUGCCAAGUGCGCCGUGGCUUAAACUCAAUUUUCUUUGAGAAGCUACAAAGGCAAAGUCAAUCGCAAUCUGCUGCGCUAGUGAUGAUUGGGAAGUACUUGACCUUUUUCUUUUCUCCAACUCUCAUUGCAAGAGAAUCAACUGAAACUGGCUUGGCGGAUACUGCGGGCUUUCACCGCUAAUGAACCCGAAGGUACGGAGUAGAAUGCUUUCCCGCCUUAGAGUGUGCCAGUAGCUUUCUUCUCUCACUUCUUUCAGAUCAAUGAAGUUGAAAAGGAAUAGAGUAUACAAAGCUCUCACUCCAAGAACUCUCAUAGUUGUGAGCUUAACUACCUGUGCAAAGAGAAUCGAUGCCUUCUAUCUUAGAGUAAGCAAGGGCUAGAAAUCGAGGACCGCUACAGCGAUUCAAAAUUGACCAUUUCGAUCUAUCUCCUUCAACAGUCUAGGCCAUCGAUAGUCGGACUGAUUUAUGGAACUUAUCCCUCCAUAAUGGCGGAGAAGGUAGGAAACUUCAGCAAAGAAGCGGCUCGAGCAGAAAGCCUUUGUUCAGACAAGCUUGAUAAAGAAGUCCUUCGGUUCAAAAAACCAAAAUCAUAGUAUGAAUCUUUGAAUAGACAGGACAUUCUUUCUUUUUGUUUGGUCCUCCGCCUAAUUCAUAUGGGGAUCUGCCUCAUUCAUAUGGAUCAAAAUCAGUCCCACUAUUUCAAAAGAAAAAUAAUAGCUCUCUGAAUCUCUGGGUUAAUGUUAAUAUGGAUAGUCCUCCGGUCUCGCAAUAUUCUUUGCGCCUAACGGUCAAUGAAAUAUGAGAAGAUGACAUUCUUUAUUUAGCAAGGUUUCAUAUUGCUCAAAGAAGCGGAUAAGACAGAGGCAAAGAAUUUGCUGUUUUUACCGCGUAGUGGGUUACGGAGUGAAAUCAGCCAAUCGAGAAAAAGUGGAAUAAAAACCGCGUAGUGGGCUAGAGCUUGAUUUUUCUGGAGUCCUUUGGCCUUCCUCUCUUUUCUAGAAAGUCCACUAGUAGCUCCAUCGCUGAUAUUCCUCGCAUCUUCAUGCGCUGUGAGUCCUCCCACAGGUCCGGAGGAUUUAUCCGUAGGACUAUCCAUUAGGACUGAGGAUCAAAGAAUUUGAGAAGGAGAGAGUUGACGAAUUUCAUGUUCAAAGAGCCAAUAGGUGAAAAGAAUAUUGAAUCCGUGGGCUUCUCUACCUUUCCAAGAAAAUGGAAACCCAUUUGGAUGACUUAUCAGCCGAUCCGACCCGAGAAUGAAGGCCAAUCCCUCAUUUAUUAGGAAAAAUUCAGGCAAGGUGAAAUUCAAUAUGACGAAGCGAUAAAUAGUGGUUGAUCUUAGAAUAUAUAAGUGGUUUAUCAAGCUCUGCUCAAGAAAUAAGAAAAUAAUAUGAAAGUGGUUUAUCAAGUUCUUUUUUAUGACUGAAAUCUGCGAAUCUAAUAAGUUGAUAUUAGAAAGUAAUAAAGUGCCUUUAUCAAGCCCAGAAGAGCUUUAUAGUCUUUAUCUAGCUUAGGCCUCUUUCUUUACUCAAUCUAGCUUAGGCCUCUUUCUUUACUCAGGGCCACUGAAGACUGCUCAUACAGCCACAACUGCGACCGGAACUGCUGAGGACGAUUCCUUUGGCUUUCUUCCCCGCUUCGAUUGAUUCCCGGCUUAAAUAGGCGAGUCCUGACUACAUCGCAUCGGCUUAACAGAAUCGAAAUCCGAGUCCUGCUGAAAUGGUCCCUAUUAUCUUCUUAUGUAUCCUAAACCUCCUCAUAUGAUUAUCAGAGUUCCGAGAUGAGAACAGUUCUUGCAAUGACGGACUCACUCCCAAUCUACAAUAUCUUUCUUCUUUGCGCUGGAGGUCCUUCAAUGCCCACGUAGCGGGUUUUAGUUCCAUUAAUCAGUCCUCCGCGGGUAGAGUCCGACUAGAAAAAAAAUAAGUGGAAUGAAAAAAGAAAGAAUGUCUCUUCUCAAAUACUUUGAGCCGGAGUUAGGCGCAUAAUAUGGAUUUCAGACGUAGUAGGAGCGGUCCUCAGCCUUUAUUUGAGAAUAUUGCGUUUUGGAGGCGCAAAGAAUAUUGCGGCGGGAAGAAUGGAUAUUGUAGAGUACGUACAGUAUCCGAUCGGGGAGAAAGGAGGGAUCCCAACAAAAAAGGCUAGGGACAAACUAAACUAGGCGUAAGGACGUCGAGGUGGAGGCGAAAGGCUCAAGUGAGUUGUAGAGGCCCUUUGUUCAUUGAGGCGGUAUUCAGUCGGUAGAGGAGUAAGGCGACCACCCGCACCCGAGGGAGAGAGAUCCGUCAAUCUUCUUGUUGCGGAUGAAGCUCUUGCUUUUUCUUUUUCAGUUGCCGUCGGUUAGAGCUCUUUCAUUCUCGUAAAUCAAGUGGAAAGGAAUAGAUUGAAACCAUUGAGCGAUGCCUUUCAUGAGCAGGGAACCUUCCCGCUUGGACCAGGAUUUCGAGUUUCAAGCGCAAGACGAUUCUGGUCUUGUACAGAUUCCAGGGAUGGAUCCCGUCUUGUCGACUUUGUCCCGCAUAUAAGAAGAUAUGAAGAAGUGCGAAUAUUCUUUCAUCAGAUAAAAAAAGAUAUAAGUAGUAAUGAACAAGUGCUCAAGAUUAUUGAAUAAUCCGAUAUUCAUUUCUCAUAAGUAGUAUGAAAAGACUUUCUCAAGCUCUUCUAUAUAAUAAGAUAAGUUUCAAGCUCUGUGGUGGAUUUUCUAAUAAAUAAGUAGUAAUUCAAGCUCUUGGUUUUCAUUUGCUUAAGACAUUGAAUUCGGUCUAUGACCUAACCGGGAAAAUGGACAAAACCCACUACGCGCUUUUCAAUAUUCUUUCUCAAUCUUCUCUUCUUUGAGCCUUUGUCAUUGAGCAGAUUCAUUGAGGGAUUUUUGAGACAUUUUCCAUCUUUUCUCUCGGGUACAUUUGGGGAAGGCAAGAUUCAAUUCGGACACCGAUUCUGAGGGUGUGCUAGUCCCAUUCUGAACUAAAAGAACUCGAAUCGAGAACGUCCGUCUUCCAUAGAAAAGCCCUUUCCUUCUCCAUUCUCCAAUAACCCGGAGGCUAAAAAAAGUGCAGACUCGAGCUAAGCUUGAUAAAGUCCCAAAGGCCUCGCAAUAUUCUUUGCACCGCACCGUGGGGGAUAGUCAUCUGGACCCGGCCAUAGAUCUUUGCUCCUCGCAAUAUUCUUUGUCAAUAUUCUUUGAACCGUAGUGCCAAAGAAAGGUCCAGGGUCCGGAGUCCGCAGUGCCAAAGAAAGGUCCAGGGUCCGGAGUCCGCAGUCCGCAGGAUUUAUCCGGAGGACCAUCAAAGAAAGGUCCAGGUGAUUUAUCCGUAGGACCAUCCGUAAUUAACAGAAGUAGUCCGGAGUCCGCAGGAUUCUUAUCCGUAGGACUAUCCAUAUGGAAGUAGGACCAUCCGUAAUUAACAGAAGUAGGACCAUCCGUAAUUAACCGAAGUAGGACCAUCCAUAUGGAAGGAAGGAGGACUCCCAGAAAGAAGAAGAAGGACUCUAAAACGGAGGACCUGUCUUAUGGCG